UUCUGCUCACUAAACCGAGACUAAUUAGGAAUCAGAAUUUCAAAACUCCUAGCCGAAGCGGCUUAAAAACUAGGUAUUUCGUGACUGAGUCGUCAAGUUUAAUAUAAUAUAUCUAACUUUGGUAAUUAUCUCCCAAAUGAUAUUUUAUAUUUUAGUAACUUGAUGACUCACCUUAGUACUCCACACAGUCUCCCACUCCCAACCACCUCCACCUUUAUUUCUUCAUCCUUUUCUUCGAGAUUAAGAGAGAAAAAGUGAGAGAAUUUCAAGUGCACACCUAUAUUUUCUUCAAGCUUCAAGCUAGGCCUUCUUCCAAACUUAAACCCCUCUCAAAAAUCUAAACUAAUUAAAGUGUUCUUCUUGAUAUUUUAUCUUCUCUUCAUGUUUUUGCUUCUUGAAGUUUUAGCCAUGAAGUGAACAUGAAAAAAUUUGAUGUUCUUGAUGUUCUUGCUUAGAAAAUCAUAUCUAGAAGGCUUGAGGAGCAAGAAACCAUUAAUUUCAGCUUGAAAAAGUGAUAACCCCACUAUCGAAUACUAAGACAAAUGAGUCAAAACAAGGGCGGUGAGGCAUGGCCAAAGAGGUGGCAAAGUUCUUGUUGGUGAGUCUCCCUUUGAUUGAGGAACGCAUUUGGAAUGAAGUGAUUGAUCAUUUCAUUACUAGGCUGUCCGCCUCCUUUUCGUCCUCUACAAGACUAGCCUACGAUCUUCCCAAUGACCUUGAAUUUCUUAUCCGUAAAGCAAUAAACCCAAUUAAAAAGGCAAUGGAAAUCAAGUAAAGUAGAAAAGUCAUCAGGCUAAGAGCCUAUUCUUGCAACAGGCAUGACAUAAUUGCAAAAUGAGUGUCUUCCUUACCUCACAUCCUAGUCUGCUCAUGGUCAUGGAAACCUCGUCUUUUUGGCAUAACUGCCUCUAGCAGCCCCUUCUCUAAGACCUUGGUCAAUUAUUUCCUUUUACUCAUAUUCGUGUCUAUGUAUUUGUUCCUAUCAUACAUUUUCGUAUGAUAGGUUUAUCAUUGUUGGCUAUGAAGUCUGCAUAAAAGUUGCCUUGGCAAAGACCGUGAACAGGGAUCACUGUGAGUUGUUUGAUCUGUACAGUCUUAAAACAUAACUCUUCACGGGUGAUCCUCAAUCUCAAAAUUUGUAAUCAGACUUAGAGCUUCUGCAAAAUCAGUUUCAAGAAUAUCAUCUUUUAUUUCAUAACCUUCAAUAGCAUUAAUCGUCUUUCUAUUGCCCAAAGUUUAAUAGCUAAACAAAAACUUUUGACAUGUGUCUACAAAAACAAAAUAACCAUCCGCCUUGGUCAUCUUUUGCAAUCCCUCCAAUCCCCAGGCUUCCC